rnacentral:rRNA from 1 species
GACGAACGCUGGCGGCGUGCUUAACACAUGCAAGUCGAACGGAAAGGCCCUGCUUUUGUGGGGUGCUCGAGUGGCGAACGGGUGAGAAACACGUGAGUAACCUGCCCUUGACUUUGGGAUAACUUCAGGAAACUGGGGCUAAUACCGGAUAGGAGCUCCUGCUGCAUGGUGGGGGUUGGAAAGUUUCGGCGGUUGGGGAUGGACUCGCGGCUUAUCAGCUUGUUGGUGGGGUAGUGGCUUACCAAGGCUUUGAAGGGUAGCCGGCCUGAGAGGGUGACCGGCCACAUUGGGACUGAGAUACGGCACAGACUCCUACGGGAGGCAGCAGUGGGGAAUAUUGCACAAUGGGCGGAAGCCUGAUGCAGCAACGCCGCGUGCGGGAUGACGGCCUUCGGGUUGUAAACCGCUUUCGCCUGUGACGAAGCGUGAGUGACGGUAAUGGGUAAAGAAGCACCGGCUAACUACGUG